GUCUGAUGUGAUCCCGAGGCCCAACCUCGGAACUGCAUUGGAAACUGAUUUAUUUGAGUGCGAUAGAGGCAAGUGGAACUCCAUGUGUAGCGGUGAAAUGCGUAGAUAUGUGGAAGAACACCAGUGGCGAAAGCGGCUUGCUAGAUCGUAACUGACGUUGAGGCUCGAAAGUAUGGGUAGCAAACGGGAUUAGAUACCCCGGUAGUCCAUACCGUAAACGAUGGGUGCUAGUUGUUAAGAGGUUUCCGCCUCCUAGUGACGUAGCAAACGCAUUAAGCACCCCGCCUGAGGAGUACGGCCGCAAGGCUAAAACUUAAAGGAAUUGACGGGGACCCGCACAAGCGGUGGAGCAUGUGGUUUAAUUCGA
rnacentral:rRNA from 1 species